GGAGGACUGCAGCUCAGUGGCAGAGCACCCAGAAGGUCUGGGUUCGAUCCCUGCAGUCUCCA
rnacentral:tRNA from 1 species